rnacentral:lncRNA from 1 species
GAUGCUCUGUGCUGAAGUUGGUGCCUGCCCCUUCCCUGUUCCAGAGGCUCUUUAAAGUGAAGCCCUGGGUGUGUACGUGGGUGCUCCUCUGAGGCGGCUGGGAACCACCGGCAGGGUCUUCUCUAGAUGGGACAGCAGCGGGAGAUGGAGCCCCGAGCCUGGGCAGCUUUUGCAGGGAAGGAGAGCCCUUCAACAUCGCCAGUGGCUCGGGACGGCCUGGGCUUGGCCGCCAAGCAUCCGUGUUUCUGGCCAGCGUUCAGACCAAAGACGCAUCACCAGGGUGCACUUGGGUGCUGUAUCUGGGAAGUGGGACCUCUAGGGAAAAGGAGUCACUCGGACUCACUCCCCUCCCUCGAGCUCUUGCCAUAAGGCUCACUUUUGUGGUCACGACACUUCCCAACCACCCACAGGUGCCGGCGUGUCCUAGGGUGAGUCCUGCCUCAUGCUCUUGCCUGGUGAGAAAGCCGCGUGUGGCCUUGCUGGCAGGGGACAUCGCUGAUGUAUUAAACUGGCCCUCCUUCCAGAACUUCCCAGGCAGCUGCGGGCCACAGGCAGAGCGUGCCUCUUGCCCGCACAGUGGCCACCAGCGCUGCCCAGUUGAAUCACGGGGCAGCACAGGCCGCGGGCCCAGCCAUCCUGAGGUCUGGAGCAGGCCUGCCUCAGGGUCCCCAUCCAUACCCAGGGGGACUGUCUUGGCUGCAUCUGGUAUUCAAGAUGAUUUUGAGCCUCAAAAACAGACCAUCAACAAGAAAAAGACCACCUAGUUCCCAAAUAGGCAAAGAACCGAACUGAUGUUUCUCUCAAGAGGAGCCAGCAGGAGACGGGGGCUGGAGAUUCCUGAGAUGCACCUCAUCCCAGGCUUGCCACCCCGGCCCGCACACCCAGCCUCCUGUGGGCCUUCCCGCGUGCAGCCCGGACGUUGGGCCAUUUUCAAAGACCUUUCUGAGGACCACGACGACCUAAGCUUCCUGGCUUCUAUCCAUAUGGCCCAAUGUCAGGCCACACCCCUCCUGCCAAGCUGAGCCCAGGAACUGCCCCCAGCUUCCCUCCUCUCCCCUCACUUGGCAAGAAACUUUCCAUGCCUCCUCCCUUGUGACUCAUCUUGGCACCCCCUGUCUUGACUGGGAGCCCCCUCCUGUGCUCCCUCCUGGCAUCCCAGCAUUCCCAGGAGUUGGCACAGCAGAUGCUCUCAGCGAGGGCUGAGUGGGAGAGUCAGGGCCAAGGGGCAUUCACGUACAGAGAUGCCUGGGCUCCAGACUGACGGACACCAGGACGUGACAAGGGAGCCUGUUUGGGGGAGGGAUGCAGGCAGGGCCUCCCGGAACUCCAGAGAGGAGACAACUGUGACAAGGAGUGGGAGGACGCCAAGAAUGGAGAGAGGCCGACAGCGGUGGUCUUGGUGCCAGAGUGGUGAUGGAUGGUGUUCUAGGCUUUUCCAAAUACUCGUACAGCUCAAGGCGAUUCCAGAGGGGAGAUGGGUAAACGAAGCAAGGAG